rnacentral:rRNA from 1 species
UACGUAGGUGGCAAGCGUUGUCCGGAAUUAUUGGGCGUAAAGCGCGCGCAGGUGGUUUCUUAAGUCUGAUGUGAAAGCCCACGGCUCAACCGUGGAGGGUCAUUGGAAACUGGGGAACUUGGGUGCAGGAGAGAAGAGUGGAAUUCCACGUGUAGCGGUGAAAUGCGUAGAGAUGUGGAGGAACACCAGUGGCGAAGGCGACUCUUUGGCCUGUAACUGACACUGAGGCGCGAAAGCGUGGGGAGCAAACAGG